UUGAUUGGAUCAAGCCCUAUUAUUAAAAAGCUUCCUUAAUAUCCAUCAAGAAUCAAUCCCUGGAUCAAUAGAAUUUUAAUCUAACUAAUUACAAAUUCAAUUGGAGCCUAAUAAUUGGGCUAGGAUCCAAUUAGUUAGUUUGUUAUAACUAAUUCUUAAGUUAGUUAGGAUUGGAUCCAAGAAUUAGUUAGAAUAUGACCAAGAUCUUGAAUCCUAUUUAAAAUAGGACUAAACCCAAACCAAGCCAUUCUAUGUGAUAAUUAAUUCCUCAUGCCCUACUCUCAUUAACAUGAGAUAUCCUUGUCCUAAGUUGUGCACCCCCUCUC
rnacentral:lncRNA from 1 species